rnacentral:rRNA from 1 species
AUGAGCGGCAGACGGGUGAGUAACGCGUGGGAAUCUACCCAUAUCUACGGGAUAACACGGAGAAAUUUGUGCUAAUACCGUAUACGUCCUUCGGGAGAAAGAUUUAUCGGAGAUGGAUGAGCCCGCGUUGGAUUAGCUAGUUGGUAGGGUAAAGGCUUACCAAGGCGACGAUCCAUAGCUGGUCUGAGAGGAUGAUCAGCCACACUGGGACUGAGACACGGCCCAGACUCCUACGGGAGGCAGCAGUGGGGAAUAUUGGACAAUGGGGGCAACCCUGAUCCAGCCAUGCCGCGUGAGUGAAGAAGGCCUUAGGGUUGUAAAGCUCUUUCGCCGGUGAAGAUAAUGACGGUAACCGGAGAAGAAGCCCCGGCUAACUUCGUGCCAGCAGCCGCGGUAAUACGAAGGGGGCUAGCGUUGUUCGGAUUUACUGGGCGUAAAGCGCAUGUAGGCGGAUAUUUAAGUCAGAGGUGAAAUCCCAGGGCUCAACCCUGGAACUGCCUUUGAUACUGGGUAUCUUGAGAGU